CCAAAGCCAAAACCAGAUGAGGAAAAAAAGAAACAGAGAGAAGAUGAAAAGUAAAAAACACACUAGAUGGCUUUCACAGAGAGACCGAGGGAACCAAAGAAAACAUAGACAGAGAGAGACGCUAGAAAAGGGAAGAGAGGGAGAGCAACGCUGAAAGCUUCUUGAACUUGUUAGUUCCUACAGAUCAUGUGGUAUCGGUUUGGGCCUUAGUUUUCACCCCAACCGCCAUUGCUUCCAAAUAGCCAUUAGAAACAGGUUUUCAGGAACUUCGUAAAUGUAGCCCAACACCGACCAUGCUUUUUCUCUCCUCCACAUGAUCCAUCUUCUGCUUUCGUAACCCAUUUUGAACGAGAGAGAGUUGCAGAGGAUUCGUAACCCAUUUUCAAAGAGAGAGAGUUGCAGAGGAA
rnacentral:lncRNA from 1 species